UUUUUUUGUGUAUUUUU
rnacentral:sRNA from 1 species